GAACCUGCGGAAGGAUCA
rnacentral:ncRNA from 4 species